rnacentral:rRNA from 1 species
UGGAGAAAAGCAGGGGAUCGUAAGACCUUGCGCUUUUGGAGUGGCCGAUGCCUGAUUAGCUAGUUGGUGGGGUAAAGGCCUACCAAGGCGACGAUCAGUAGUUGGUCUGAGAGGACGACCAGCCACACUGGGACUGAGACACGGCCCAGACUCCUACGGGAGGCAGCAGUGGGGAAUUUUGGACAAUGGGCGAAAGCCUGAUCCAGCAAUGCCGCGUGAGUGAAGAAGGCCUUCGGGUUGUAAAGCUCUUUCAGUCGAGAAGAAAGGAUUGUGAUGAAUAAUCACAGUUCAUGACGGUAUCGACAGAAGAAGCACCGGCUAACUACGUGCCAGCAGCCGCGGUAAUACGUAGGGUGCAAGCGUUAAUCGGAAUUACUGGGCGUAAAGGGUGCGCAGGCGGCUUUGUAAGUCAGAUGUGA